GCCUAACACAUGCAAGUCGAGCGGCAGCACGGGUACUUGUACCUGGUGGCGAGCGGCGGACGGGUGAGUAAUGCCUAGGAAUCUGCCUAGUAGUGGGGGAUAACGUCCGGAAACGGGCGCUAAUACCGCAUACGUCCUACGGGAGAAAGUGGGGGAUCUUCGGACCUCACGCUAUUAGAUGAGCCUAGGUCGGAUUAGCUAGUUGGUGAGGUAAUGGCUCACCAAGGCGACGAUCCGUAACUGGUCUGAGAGGAUGAUCAGUCACACUGGAACUGAGACACGGUCCAGACUCCUACGGGAGGCAGCAGUGGGGAAUAUUGGACAAUGGGCGAAAGCCUGAUCCAGCCAUGCCGCGUGUGUGAAGAAGGUCUUCGGAUUGUAAAGCACUUUAAGUUGGGAGGAAGGGCAGUUACCUAAUACGUGAUUGUUUUGACGUUACCGACAGAAUAAGCACCGGCUAACUCUGUGCCAGCAGCCGCG
rnacentral:rRNA from 1 species